UACGUAGGUGGCAAGCGUUGUCCGGAUUUACUGGGCGUAAAGAGCGCGCAGGCGGUCGGAUAAGUCGAAUGUGAAAGCCCCCGGCUCAACUGGGGAGGGUCAUUCGAUACUGUUCGACUCGAAGGCAGGAGAGGGAAGUGGAAUUCCUGGUGUAGCGGUGGAAUGCGCAGAUAUCAGGAGGAACACCGGUGGCGAAGGCG
rnacentral:rRNA from 1 species